CUCCGGUUGAUCCUGCCGGACCUGACUGCUAUCGGAUUGGUACUAAGCCAUGCGAGUCGUUGUAGCAAUACAAGGCGGACGGCUCAGUAACACGUAGUCAACCUAACCUAUGGACGUGGAUAACCUCGGGAAACUGAGAAUAAACCGCGAUAGAUCAUUAUGCCUGGAAUGGCUUAUGGUUCAAACAAUUUAUUGCCGUAGGAUGGGACUGCGGCCUAUCAGCUUGUUGGUGAGGUAAUGGCCCACCAAGGCUAUAACAGGUACGGGCUCUGAGAGGAGAAGCCCGGAGAUGGGUACUGAGACACGGACCCAGGCCCUAUGGGGCGCAGCAGGCGAGAAACCUUAGCAAUGUGCGAAAGCACGACUAGGUUAAUCCGAGUGAUUUCUGUUGAAGAAAUCUUUUGUCAGUCGUAAAACCACAGACGAAUAAGGGGUGGGCAAGUCUGGUGUCAGCCGCCGCGGUAAUACCAGCACCUCGAGUGGUCAGGAGGUUUAUUGGGCCUAAAGCAUCCGUAGCCGGCUACGCAAGUCUCCGGUUAAAUCCAGCUGCUCAACAGAUGGGCUGCCGGAGAUACUACAUAGCUAGGGAGCGGGAGAGGUAGACGGUAUUCUGUGGGUAGGGGUAAAAUCCACUGAUCCAUAGAGGACCACCAGUGGCGAAGGCGGUCUACCAGAACGCGUUCGACGGUGAGGGAUGAAAGCUGGGGGAGCAAACCGGAUUAGAUACCCGGGUAGUCCCAGCUGUAAACGAUGCAAACUCGGUGAUGCAUUGGCUUAUGGCCAAUGCAGUGCCGCAGGGAAGCCGUUAAGUUUGCCGCCUGGGAAGUACGGACGCAAGUCUGAAACUUAAAGGAAUUGGCGGGGGAGCC
rnacentral:rRNA from 1 species